GAACUGAUGAAGAGUCCCAGCCUGGAACGAAACAGCUGUCCGGUGC
rnacentral:hammerhead_ribozyme from 1 species